AGUCUUAUAUUCAUUAAAUGAUCAUAGAAUGCAAUUCUAUAGGAGUAAUAAGUUAAUAAUUACUAAGACUU
rnacentral:tRNA from 1 species